AUUGAACGCUGGCGGCAGGCCUAACACAUGCAAGUCGAGCGGAUGAAGGGAGCUUGCUCCUGGACUCAGCGGCGGACGGGUGAGUAAUGCCUAGGAAUCUGCCUGGUAGUGGGGGACAACGUUUCGAAAGGAACGCUAAUACCGCAUACGUCCUACGGGAGAAAGCAGGGGACCUUCGGGCCUUGCGCUAUCAGAUGAGCCUAGGUCGGAUUAGCUAGUUGGUGAGGUAAUGGCUCACCAAGGCGACGAUCCGUAACUGGUCUGAGAGGAUGAUCAGUCACACUGGAACUGAGACACGGUCCAGACUCCUACGGGAGGCAGCAGUGGGGAAUAUUGGACAAUGGGCGAAAGCCUGAUCCAGCCCUGCCGCGUGUGUGAAGAAGGUCUUCGGAUUGUAAAGCACUUUAAGUUGGGAGGAAGGGUUGUAGAUUAAUACUCUGCAAUUUUGACGUUACCGACAGAAUAAGCACCGGCUAACUCUGUGCCAGCAGCCGCGGUAA
rnacentral:rRNA from 1 species